rnacentral:lncRNA from 1 species
CCUCUCAAUACCUCAACUAGACCCAAGAACCCCCUCUCCAGCUUUUGAGGAAGUACCUCUUUUUCGUCACUCAUCAGAGAAUUUCCCCUGCUGCUACACUUCCUCUGGUUCGGCACCCUGUGAUCAGAUUAUUCGAUCUCUUCCCCAACCUUUGCUCCGGGGUUCUUUUUCUGGUGCAAUGUUACCCUAACAAAAAAUCUAAGCCUCAACAUGCUCUUUGCUUUUUGUGUUCCUUCCAUCUUGGUCCCUCAUUAACUCUGUACAGUGAGGCUGAAUUAACAUGGCUUGUUACUAUCUCCAUUUCCAGGACAAGAUGGGCUGUCUUUCUACCAGUAGUAGUUGGACUCUCCCUGACCUCCUCACUCGCUGCCUCUGGACUGGGGGCAGGAGGACUUGGUUAUGCAGUAACUGCAACUCAGAAGCUUGAACAACAAUUUCAGGAAGCGGUAGAGGCAUCAGACGCCUCUCUGGCUUCCCAACAAAGGCAAACAUCUAUUGCCCAAGUUUCACUACAGAACCAUCAAGCCCUCGAUCUCCUGAUGGCAGACAAAGGAGGAAGCUGUCUAUUCUUAAAUAGCAACAAUCAAAUGACCCUUGGCCAGGCUGACUAAACUCAACCCUCAUUACAUGACUAACUCCCACUCUCACUCCUAUAUUAGUCAUAGGGCUUCUAUUAAUGAUUGCUCUCUGCCUCCUCAGGUUCGCCCAAAACUUUGUGGGUGAAAUUGCCAGAGUGACCUACAACCAGAUGCUUCUACACCCCUACAGUCUCAUCCUCACCUAACCAACAUCAAACCACCCACUCCCUCCAGCGCCCCUAGCCAGCAAGAAGUAGCCAGAUGAAAUUCGAUGCCCUAUAUCAUCAAAAAGGUGGGGUUCUUAGGUCGGUUUGAGAUGAUUAAGCAACCCACCCACACACAAAAGAACCA